GAGAAGCUUGCUUCUUGGGUGGCGAGUGGCGAACGGGUGAGUAAUAUAUCGGAACGUACCGAGCAGUGGGGGAUAACUAAUCGAAGGAUUAGCUAAUACCGCAUAUUUUCUGAGGAAGAAAGCAGGGGACCAUUUGGCCUUGUGCUGUUUGAGCGGCCGAUAUCUGAUUAGCUAGUUGGUGGGGUAAAGGCCUACCAAGGCGACGAUCAGUAGCGGGUCUGAGAGGAUGAUCCGCCACACUGGGACUGAGACACGGCCCAGACUCCUACGGGAGGCAGCAGUGGGGAAUUUUGGACAAUGGGCGCAAGCCUGAUCCAGCCAUGCCGCGUGUCUGAAGAAGGCCUUCGGGUUGUAAAGGACUUUUGUCAGGGAAGAAAAGGAUAGGGUUAAUACCCCUGUCUGAUGACGGUACCUGAAGAAUAAGCACCGGCUAACUACGUGCCAGCAGCCGCGGUAAUACGUAGGGUGCGAGCGUUAAUCGGAAUUACUGGGCGUAAAGCGGGCGCAGACGGUUACUUAAGCAGGAUGUGAAAUCCCCGGGCUCAACCUGGGAACUGCGUUCUGAACUGGGUGACUAGAGUGUGUCAGAGGGAGGUAGAAUUCCACGUGUAGCAGUGAAAUGCGUAGAGAUGUGGAGGAAUACCGAUGGCGAAGGCAGCCUCCUGGGAUAACACUGACGUUCAUGCCCGAAAGCGCGGGUAGCAAACAGGAUUAGAUACCCUGGUAGUCCACGCCCUAAACGAUGUCGAUUAGCUGUUGGGCAGCUUGACUGC
rnacentral:rRNA from 1 species